rnacentral:rRNA from 1 species
UACGAAGGGGGCUAGCGUUGCUCGGAAUCACUGGGCGUAAAGCGCACGUAGGCGGCUUCUUAAGUCAGGGGUGAAAUCCUGGAGCUCAACUCCAGAACUGCCUUUGAUACUGAGGAGCUUGAGUCCGGGAGAGGUGAGUGGAACUGCGAGUGUAGAGGUGAAAUUCGUAGAUAUUCGCAAGAACACCAGUGGCGAAGGCGGCUCACUGGCCCGGUACUGACGCUGAGGUGCGAAAGCGUGGGGAGCGAACGAGG